rnacentral:rRNA from 1 species
CGAAUGCUGACAUAAGUAACGAUAAUGCGGGUGAAAAACCCGCACGCCGGAAGACCAAGGGUUCCUGUCCAACGUUAAUCGGGGCAGGGUGAGUCGACCCCUAAGGCGAGGCCGAAAGGCGUAGUCGAUGGGAAACGGGUUAAUAUUCCCGUACCUGGUGUUACUGCGAAGGGGGGACGGAGAAGGCUAUGUUGGCCGGGCGACGGUUGUCCCGGUUUAAGCGUGCAGGCUGGUUUUCCAGGCAAAUCCGGAAAAUCAAGGCUGAGGCGUGACGACGAGGCACUACGGUGCUGAAGCAACAAAUGCCCUGCUUCCAGGAAAAGCCUCUAAGCCUCAGGUAACAUCAGAUCGUACCCGAAACCGACACAGGUGGUCAGGUAGAGAAUACCAAGGCGCUUGAGAGAACCCGGGUGAAGGAACUAGGCAAAAUGGUGCCGUAACU